rnacentral:rRNA from 1 species
UACGUAGGGUGCGAGCGUUGUCCGGAAUUAUUGGGCGUAAAGAGCUCGUAGGCGGUCUGUCGCGUCGGUCGUGAAAACCUGCAGCUUAACUGUGGGCGUGCGGUCGAUACGGGCAUGACUGGAGUUCGGCAGGGGAGACUGGAAUUCCUGGUGUAGCGGUGAAAUGCGCAGAUAUCAGGAGGAACACCGGUGGCGAAGGCGGGUCUCUGGGCCGUAACUGACGCUGAGGAGCGAAAGCAUGGGGAGCGAACAGG